rnacentral:lncRNA from 1 species
UACCACCUUGAUACCAGGAGCAUCUUGAGGUCAGCACAUUCCCCUAAAGGGUCUGUGUAGAAUGAGAGCAGCUGGAAACCACACAGAACAGGAUGCAUAAGAAAUAGGAAGUAGAAGCAUGGAAGGAGGGGAUGAUCCUCUGAAAACGAGAGACGUGUACUGGCCACAGCAAGCUUAGGAUGACGUCCAGAGUGAACGCACGGGGCUAGGAGCAAACAUUGGACUUGGUGAAUAAGGGAGGACAUGUGCAGGUAAUUGUUUCCUGAACUAGAAAGUCUCUGAUCUGGCUUGUGAAUUCAAUCAAAAAGAGCACUUCGAUCUUAUAAAACCAACUGAAAGAACCACUUCUCCUUGUUUGUAUGAAGAGAAGUCAGUAAGGAGUGACUCUCAGAAGACAACUGGAGUGAGGAUACAUGGUGCCACCAUGCCCCCACAAAGCUGAAUAAAGUCUCCCCUGGUCCAGGAUCCCAGUCCUGCCUGAGACCCAGGACAUAAAUACGUUCUAUGGUGGGAUCAGGGUCAUCAAGGUCUGCAUGGUCCCUGUUUCUCUUCUACCCUGAGCUCUUCCUUCUGACUCUCACAGCAACAGCACCCUCCCAAGGUUCCAGCUUCCCUUCAAAGUCACUGUUGGAGUGUUUUCUCUGACUCUACAGAAAGCACCAUUCCUGGAAUGCAGUACACUGCAGCUGCUCCGAGGCAGCCAUUUGGGGCUGAGAAAGCAGCUCUCCACUGCUUCCUCCAAAGGCAGGAGCAGUCCAGUGGCGGGACUGCCCAUGAGUCUCCUCGUCAACAGACCCUGAGCCUCUGAUGUAAGAAGCCAGAUGUGAUGGAGAUAGGUAGGCUCUGCUUACUGCCUGUCACUCUGAGAGACUGGCCUUCUCUCAAGGGAGAGCUCGACGUCACCAUUGUUGGUGAGUUUCGUUUUAGUACACCAGGUGUAAAAAUAACCGCUCAUCCCAGACUGGAGGACUCGGUUUCUGGGUGCUCUUGAGAGUCAGCCUUCCUGAGUUCUCAAACAUAUUUAAUGGGAAGUUGGGAGGGGGAGAGUUAAUGACCAUGAGCACAAAUUCACUUUCAACUGCUGUUACCAUGACAAACUGUUACCAUGACAAUUUAAAAGUUAUUUUGAACCACCAAAAAGAGUCACAGUACUCAGAACUUGUGAAGCCUAGUCCCUCUCUAUGUCACAAUGAGAAGAUUAUUGGGCCAGAACUGGCUGGGGUCAGAUACGAGCAGAUGUCUGGCACCAGCAUCUUUUGGUCCAGAAGAGCGAUUGAGGACUCAGAGUCAGGAGCUUCCCUGAGUCUGAGGAAAGGGACAGGAGAAAUUAGGAGGGCUCCUUGGUUUCUGCUUGUGCUAGAACAUCCUGUAGCCACCAACCCAGAAGCCAUGGCUCAGCGUACAGAUGGAGUGCUGUGACGUCAGGGAAUCGCUUCCAAGAAAUUCAGAAGGAAAGAGGAGAACAUGAGUGUCACUGCAAGGGGACUGGAAAAGAGCUAAUGACCCUGAAGCUGGGUGAUGAGUAGUGGGAUCUAUUGUACUGGUUUUUUCUACUUUUGUGUUUCUACAAAAAGAGGCUUUUUAAAAAAAAUAAUGCUGUUAUGAGCUGAAUUGUGCCCCCCUUCCCAAAUUCAAAUGUUGAAGUCCUAACCCCCAGGACCUCAGAAUGUGACUGUAUUUGGAGACAGGGCUUUUAAAGAGGUAAUUAAGGUGAAACGAGGCCAUAGGGUGGGCCCUGAUCCAAUGUGACUGGUGUCUUUAGUAAGAGGAAAUUAGGACACAGACAUGUGCACACAGAGGAAACCUAUCUGAGAACACUGCCAGAUGGUGGGCACUCGUAAGCCAAGCAGAGAAGAUGCAGAAGAAA